GAUGAACGCUGGCGGCGUGCCUAAUACAUGCAAGUCGAGCGAACGGACGAGAAGCUUGCUUCUCUGAUGUUAGCGGCGGACGGGUGAGUAACACGUGGAUAACCUACCUAUAGGACUGGGAUAACUUCGGGAAACCGGAGCUAAUACCGGAUAAUAUUUUGAACCGCAUGGUUCAAAAGUGAAAGACGGUCUUGCUGUCAAUGAUAGAUGGAUCCGCGCUGAAGUAGCUAGUUGGUAAGGUAACGGCUUACCAAGGCAACGAUGCAUAGCAGGCCUGAGAGGGUGAUCGGCCACACUGGAACUGAGACACGGUCCAGACUCCUACGGGAGGCAGCAGUAGGGAAUCUUCCGCAAUGGGCGAAAGCUUGACGGAGCAACGCCGCGUGAGUGAUGAAGGCCUUCGGGUCGUAAAACUCUGUUAUUAGGGAAGAACAUAGGUGUAAGUAACUGUGCACAUCUUGACGGUACCUAAACAGUAAGCCACGGCUAACUACGUG
rnacentral:rRNA from 1 species